rnacentral:rRNA from 1 species
GACGAACGCUGGCGGCGUGCCUAAUACAUGCAAGUCGAACGCAGUGGGGACGGUUGAGUAACACGUGGGUAACCUCCCAUCAGAGGGGAUAACACUUGGAAACAGGUACUAAACCGAUACUGAUGGAUGGACCUGCGGUGCAUUAGCUAGUUGGUGAGGUACCGGCUGACCAAGGCCACGAUGCAUAGCCGACCUGAGAGGGUGAUCGGCCACCCUGGGACUGAGACACGGCCCAGACUCCUACGGGAGGCAGCAGUAGGGAAUCUUCGGCAAUGGACGAAAGUCUGACCGAGCAACGCCGCGUGAGUGAAGAAGGUUUUCGGAUCGUAAAUCUCUUUCGUUAGAGAAGCGGUAUCUAACCAUAAAGCCCCGGCUAACUACGUGCCAGCAGCCGCGGUAAUAC